AACUACCAUUCAAGGAUGGCACAAAACUGCUGAACAUAAAAAAAAGUAGGUGCAAGAACAGUUUUUUUUUUUUUUGCAUUAUUUCACAAAAAUGAACACACUCAAACUUGUACAAUUACUGAGGUACUAUUUUUGUCCAUAUCAUUCCAAAUCUCCUCACAAGUAGCUUUUAGUGUGUCUGUGGCAAUGCGGUCAUGUGUGUCCUGAUGGGCAGAGCAGGUGCUGUUGUCAUCCUGCCCGCCACGCGGCACACAACUUUCACCACAAACAACACACUGUGUCGGACAAGGUGAGGGAAGGAUCACCCGGCUGGUGCUGUACUCACAUGAAUAUCCUGCAGGACAAGUCCAGGGCUUGCUGAUUCCUCUUCAGGUGCAAACUGCCGAUGAGAGCAGGUGAAAAAGAAUCAACAUACGCAGAAAAGUGCAGCGUCUUGGCUUUGUGCUGUCUGAAGAAAUAAAUCCAUAAAGUCCACACUUGAAGUUGGGCAAUAUUCACCCAGGAGCGAGUGGAAGAGGUGACCCACCGGCGGGGAGGGUCGCUGAGUCGUGCUGGGUAACCCUACCUCGGGGCCCACCAUGUAUGGGCUCAAACCUGGAUCGGCGUCUGCCAUAAAUAGCCGGGAGGAGCCCGUGCAGGAAGGGCAUCCCAAUGGACGACAUCUUAACGGGCUUCUUGAAAGGCAAUGAGAGACAAUGGCUGCUCUCCAACCAAGUGUACCCGCCAACUCACUUACGCUGCCGGCAAAAUGGGCCAACUUGUCCAACACUUUGAUGGCACACAAGUGGAGCGCAGCGGGAUGCCGUCAUCUGACUGGACCUGGCUGGACUGCACAGACCUGCUAAUUAGUCUAAUGUGGCGGACAAAAGCGUCAACAAAGAGACAAAAAGGGAGAGAAUUCCCCUGAGAGAUCAGCUUGUAUGGAAACAGAACCAGAAUCAGAUCAUUGGUGAAUUAGAUUUUUUUUCCUUUAGAGAAAAGUCAUGUGUGUUUCAUAAAAAAUAUGAACAAAUAAAAAUCUAUAU